rnacentral:rRNA from 1 species
UACGGGGGGGAGCGAGCGUUGUUCGGAUUCACUGGGCGUAAAGGGUGCGUAGGUGGCAGGGUAAGUCGGAUGUGAAAGCUCGGAGCUCAACUCCGAAAUGGCAUUGGAAACUACCCAGCUCGAGGGUUGGAGGGGGGACUGGAAUGCUUGGUGUAGCAGUGAAAUGCGUAGAUAUCAAGCGGAACACCAGUGGCGAAGGCGAGUCCCUGGACAACUCCUGACACUGAGGCACGAAAGCUAGGGGAGCAAACAGG